rfam:Spironucleus salmonicida unplaced genomic scaffold scf7180000020686, whole genome shotgun sequence.
GGGAAAUUGGUCUAGUGGUAUGAUUCCUGUUUUGGGUACAGGAGGUCCCGGGUUCCAUUCCCGGAUUUCCCC